GACGAACGCUGGCGGCGUGCCUAAUACAUGCAAGUUGAGCGCUGAAGGUUGGUACUUGUACCAACUGGAUGAGCAGCGAACGGGUGAGUAACGCGUGGGGAAUCUGCCUUUGAGCGGGGGACAACAUUUGGAAACGAAUGCUAAUACCGCAUAAAAACUUUAAACACAAGUUUUAAGUUUGAAAGAUGCAAUUGCAUCACUCAAAGAUGAUCCCGCGUUGUAUUAGCUAGUUGGUGAGGUAAAGGCUCACCAAGGCGAUGAUACAUAGCCGACCUGAGAGGGUGAUCGGCCACAUUGGGACGGAGACACGGCCCAAACCCCUACGGGAGGCAGCAGUAGGGAAUCUUCGGCAAUGGACGAAAGUCUGACCGAGCAACGCCGCGUGAGUGAAGAAGGUUUUCGGAUCGUAAAACUCGGUUGGUAGAGAAGAACGUUGGUGAGAGUGGAAAGCUCAUCAAGUGACGGUAACUACCCAGAAAGGGACGGCUAACUACGUG
rnacentral:rRNA from 1 species